GGCAUUCAAAACUGAUGGAGCUUCGGGAAGAAGCGAAGAUAAUUAAUUUGAGGAUGAAGUGUCACCGUGGAAAUCAAAAAGGACCGAAAUAAUUGACCCACGAUGCAAGAAGGGCGAAAUCGGGAAGCUGCAAACUGAUGCAAUGAGAAUAAUGUUACCCAAACUGGUGUAAUUUUUAAUAUUAACCGAAACCAAGGUUGUGAGAAAUAAAAAAAACAACAAACAACGAGAAACGCAAAGGAGAUAUGGGAUCGGUCAUUAGCAAGAAUGGUUUUUCAGCCCUUAGUUCCCAAACUAAUAAACUUGACUCUAGAGAACCGUUGAACGAAUCGAAAUCUGAUAUGAAGUCCUCGAAUCAUUCAGAAAAUGAUGUCGUUUCUGGUAACAAUUGGGACUACGGCACCUGUUUUACAUCUUGGUCUGAUGACGUCACUUAUAAAUACUUGGAUGAUAUUCUGUGUGACGACUUGGAGUAUAAUAUAGUUCCAGGAUUUAAUAGCUACUCGCAGACAAACGCGGAUAUGUGUUCCGACCUUGAAGAUAGUUGUGAAAAUACUCCUUCGUCCAAUUCAGCAUCGGAGAAACAAAAACUUAAAUCGACCUCAGAUUCAACCAAUUCUUGUCUUGAAGAACAACACCGGCGAAACUCUGAGGAUAAUUCAUUUUUAGAUCUUGAAAACCAAAUUCUCCAGGAAUACAACGAUGCCAAAGGAACACGGCCAUUACUUUCAGAGUCAUUGGACGGCAGCCAUGUUGGGGCAUCGCCUUGACGGGUUUAAGCGAACGAAUCGACGCCAGCGUUUAAGUCUUAAAGCCUGGUACUUAUUAUAUCGAUCACUUUUUGACGAACCGAGCGAGCCGUCUCACAGAAUAAAUCACCUUAUUUGAUAAACCAAAUACCAAACUUAUUCCAUGAAGAUAUUAAGAAUGGAACAGCUCAGCCGUUAUGCGGAUCUUCAAGAAGGAAACGGGCAUAAAUUAGAUAAAUUUAGGAUUCAAUAUUUCUACCUGUUAAUUAAAGUCUAGAUUAAAUAGAUGAGUAAAUAAUAGGGGGCUAAUGACGUGUAGGUAAGCACCACUGAUAGGAAACGUUGCUCUGUAACCAUUCUCUUUUAGUAUAUUCCAGGUAUGGCAGUGUGACAGAAAACCAAGUCCAAAAUAGUCUUUGGUUCCUGAAUAGAAUUGCUUUACUUAGUUCUAUGAUGAUCAAGAAAUCCAUGAACAUCACAAACUCUCGUUUUCCUUCUCUAAUAAAAUUGGCGCCAAUAGUGAAGAACUGGAUUAGAUGCCUUUUAGUAUUAAGCUGAGUAUCUUGCAGUGCUGAGUGGAAUUCUUCUGCCGAUAAUAUUGUCUUCCUAACUCUUCUUUUUAUGCCAGUGUAAAAUAAAAUAAAAUCAUUAUUAUUACUUU
rnacentral:misc_RNA from 1 species